rnacentral:rRNA from 1 species
GAUGAACGCUGGCGGCGUGCCUAAUACAUGCAAGUCGAGCGAACAGACGAGGAGCUCGCUCCUCUGACGUUAGCGGCGGACGUGUGAGUAACACGUGGAUAACCUACCUAUAAGACUGGGAUAACUUCGGGAAACCGGAGCUAAUACCGGAUAAUAUAUUGAACCGCAUGGUUCAAUAGUGAAAGACGGUUUUGCUGUCACUUAUAGAUGUAUCCGCGCCGCAUUAGCUAGUUGGUAAGGUAACGGCUUACCAAGGCAACGAUGCGUAGCCGACCUGAGAGGGUGAUCGGCCACACUGGAACUGAGACACGGUCCAGACUACUACGGGAGGCAGCAGUAGGGAAUCUUACGCAAUGGGCGAAAGCUUGACGGAGCAACGCCGCGUGAGUGAUGAAGGUCUUCGGAUCGUAAAACUCUGUUAUUAGGGAAGAACAAAUGUGUAAGUAACUAUGCACGUCUUGACGGUACCUAAUCAGAAAGCCACGGCUAACUACGUG